AUACGUAGGGUGCGAGCGUUGUCCGGAAUUACUGGGCGUAAAGAGCUCGUAGGUGGUUUGUCGCGUCGUCUGUGAAAUUCCGGGGCUUAACUCCGGGCGUGCAGGCGAUACGGGCAUAACUUGAGUACUGUAGGGGAGACUGGAAUUCCUGGUGUAGCGGUGAAAUGGGCAGAUAUCAGGAGGAACACCGGUGUCGAAGGCGGGUUUCUGGGCAGUAACUGACGCUGAAGAGCGAAAGCAUGGGUAGAGAACAGGAUUAUAGCCCCGGGUAGUCCAUGCCGUACACGGUGGGCGCUAGGUGUAGGGAUCUUCCACGCUUUCUGUGCCGUAGCUAACGCAUUAAGCGCCACGCCUGGCGAGUACGGCCGCAAGGCUAAAACUCAAAUGAAUUGACGGGG
rnacentral:rRNA from 1 species